rnacentral:rRNA from 1 species
GACAGAGGUGCCGAGCGUUAGGCGGAAUCACUGGGCUUAAAGCGUGUGUAGGCGGGUCCGUAAGUACCUUGUGAAAUCCCACGGCUCAACCGUGGAACUGCUUGGUAUACUGCGGGUCUUGAGCCACCUAGGGGCAAGCGGAACAAGCGGUGGAGCGGUGAAAUGCGUAGAUAUCGCUUGGAACGCCAAUGGUGAAAAACAGCU